GGUCACCAAGCAGAAGUCCCCAUUGGCCUACUCGGCUGUUCAUCUUAGGAGCCCGAAGCAGACACCCCCACAAGCGCUUGUUUCUUGGCAAUCCGUCAAGCCAUGGAGACCGCGGAACAAAAGCUGCUCGGCUUGGGAUGGAACGAAGGAGCAAAGGCAGCAACACCCGAAACCCUAGCCACUCGUUCUGUCAUCAUCGGUGUGCGUUCGACGGGGAUGAUAUUAAAUUAUGCAGGCGAUGUUUGCUGUGUACCCUCCAAAGCAGUUGAGGCCCAGGGCAAUUUAAUGUGGUGGUACGGGCUUUGAAAGUGACAAGCACAUGAACCCCAAGCAUUUUUUCUCUGCCCAAGGGGGAGAAGUAUCGGCAAGAAGUCGGGAUUGUGCUUAGAAAGUGUUGCCGAAUGCCAAGCAGUGGAGGGUGAACAAAGAUUGAAGGAUAGGUCCUCUUGUUUGGUUUUUUUGCUCCUUUUUUCCGACAGGAAACUCACAAAUCCGCCAUACUUUGUUUAAAUGAAAAGGGAGCGAGAUUCGCGUCAUUUGUGUGGCAUCCCUGAAUUAAUU